rnacentral:lncRNA from 1 species
CCCAUAUCCAUAUGGAAACGGAAUCCACAAACCUCCAGGCAAAAUCCUCCCUUCCGGAAUGUCCAGGUUUCCAAGGAAAGACGCAAAGACAUCUGGCUGUGUGACUCCGUAGUUCAUGCUGUUCGCCACGCCUGGAAAAGCAGGAAUCAUGGCAGGUCCCCCGCGGAGCCAAAAGUGCGACCCUAAGUCCCCAGUUUCUGCGUUUGCUUCCAAAGAAGGAAGAUUUCCGUAGGACCCAAGUUCACCAGGAUGAGCAUAGAGGAAAGGAUCCUGUGGCGCUUCCUGCCUCCCCAGGGAGAAACGCGGCGUGAUGCUUCUGGUAGGAACAGCAGUUGUUACUCCAUGUGGGUCAACUGAUAUGUUCUGCUGAAGGAACGGCGAUGGCUGGUCGUUUUGCGCGUCCGCAUUCGACCCGCCCGCAAACGAACGAAUGGCGGGAUCAGGCAUGUCACUUAAACUUUCCUGUGCUCCGGAAUUCCACGCCACAUCAGGCGCAUGAAAGCCCGAGGUACAGUUGCCGACUACGCCAUGAGGAGUUUGUUCCGGACUCGUUGACAAAGGCAGGCAGAGAUGCGGUUCCUUGUAUCCCCGUGCAUGCUUCGCUUGAAUCCGUGACGGAAGAUGUGAGGGCGCCGCAAGAGACUCCGGCAGGUGCUGCGAGACAGGCUGCUGGGUCCAGUUUCCCGGUUGAGACCGAGGUUCACUGAAGACCCCAGACGUACCAGUGUUCGUUGCUGACGGAGGGAGAGACGAGCCUUGUGCGUUAGGUUCAGCAUGCUCUCUUCCACCUCUCUGAGCAUAGUGGGGAUAAGCGAAGAAACCAGACUCACUCCUAUCAAGCACGAGACGAGGCACCCUGAACAAGGCCUCUGUACCCAUUCUUCUGCUGUGUAAUGGAACUCGUGGCAUAUCAACUGGAGAUGCUUGCGAUGUGCGAGUCGGGCAGAUGGUGCCUGGAAAACCUUUCCUUCGUUGGCCGGGGAAAGACAGCUCCCCUGGAACCAGCAAAUCUGUCCUAGUUCGAGACCCCGGAGGAGCAACGGUCACAGUGGAACAGGAGGAUUCAUCGGGAGAAGGAGUCACAGGAUGAACUGCGGAACUCCCAAUGUCAUGUACAAACGGUGCAGAAGAUCCAUAUAUCGAAAAAUCAGAAACUGAGUUUGUGCCAAUCGUCUGACUGUUGGUGUCGGGGGCUGUCCCAUCUGUUGUCGUGCCUUCGAGCACCGCAGCCGGCGCGUGUGCUUGGGAGUUUCUAGGGAACCUGGUCCUUCCAUUUUGGGGGGAAAACGGGUAACAGGGCGGACUGGUCUCUCGGGAGAGGGGCAGUCCGGCAAGGGAAGAUACGAUUUGAUUGACGGCUGCUACGUUCUUUCCUCGCUCCCUCGAAGGGGAGGGAGGAGACGAACAGAGAGCAUGUUGUUUUUCCGCAUGCUCAGCCUCCUUGUACGAAGUUACGUUGUGAACAGUGGCACAUGCUUGUCCUGCUGAAGACGGAAACUCUGAAGACGCAUGAUGAGAGGCUGGGAGCAUAGUUGACACAGACGCCAUCCCUCCCGAAAAAUGUCGGUCAUCUCUUUCCUUCCAACCGGUGGCAAAAGGCAGUGCAAUGUUCUCUCCAAAACUCUGCGCCUGAGUCCGUGCGUUCUCUACCACCGCGUCCGCAUUAUCUGACCGUUUUCCUCUAGUCGGAUCUUCAUAGGAGAAUGGAAAGACACAAGGGAAGGGACUUUCGUUAGAAACCCGAGUAAAGACAGGAGAAGCAGGGGGUGCCCUAGAGGCAACAAGGGGCCGAGUGGAACCUUCAUCGAUGUUGACGGAACAGUAAGAAUCAGGGUUCGAACAAAAUUUAUUGUGGAAAGGAUGGGAACUCUCAAGAGAGGUGUCGUCUCUUCGAGAAGUUACGAGCGCAGUAGACAAAACAUGGUUGGCAUGUGAAGAGAUACGCGAGCCAUCACCGGAAGCAGAAGAUAUGGGACGAUCUUGGGACGGAGAAUCAUUCAGAGGCGACGCAUAGCAAAUAGAGCCUGACUGAGGAGUUUCCUGAGGCUCCGCGGUUCCACAGUUCCUUUGACGCAAGCUGGCGAUGAGGCUAGCAGGUCUUCUCGGGUUGCCAUGACGUCUUGUAUGCCUCAGAGGCACCGCCGGAGAAGAAACCAGAAACCCACUGUAGUUGUGCCGAACGGCUGGAGAAGGGCGCCCUCUGUGACUGCGAAUGGGGCGCUUCAAACUGUC